rnacentral:rRNA from 1 species
GAUGAACGCUGGCGGCGUGCUUAAUACAUGCAAGUCGAACGGACAGAUCAUGAUCUUGCGGGUCUCACGAGAGCCGCACGGGUGUGUGUAACACGUGUAAAAUCCCCCUGUAUUUCUGAUAUAACCUCGAGAAAGGGGAUAAUACAGGAUAGGAGAUCUUGCAGCACGUGGGGGGAUGGUGAGAUUCGGUGGUUGGGGAUGGAAGAGAGGCUUACCAGCCUGUUGGUGGGGUAGUGGAUUUCAAAGGCUUUGAAGGGUAGGCGGCAUGGGAGGUGGACCGGCCACAUUGGGACUGCGGUACGGCCCAGACUCCUACGUGAGGCAGCAGUGGGGAGUAUUGCACAAUGGGCGGAAGCCUGAUGCAGCAACGCCGCGUGCGUGAUGACGGCCUUCGGGUUGUAAACCGCUUUCGCCUGUGACGAAGCGUGAGUGACGGUAAUGGGUAAAGAAGCACCGGCUAACUACGUG